AGUAGCAUGGUUUGUCACUUGAUUUAUUCACUCAAAAAUGAUUUGACUUAUAAAAUUUAAGAAAGCAUAACAUUUAUUUUAAGGCUGAUAUCAAUUUAGCUUAAAAUAGUACUUUUGUGCUUGACUUCGGUUUUUUAACUGUCUUCGUGAAACAACUUAAAAGAGGAAUCUAUCAAUGGGACGAUUUUCACAACUAAGAUAAUUCACUUCUUUAUUCAGUUUGAAAACCUAACCGUUACAACCCCACACCAGUAGGGGGCCGCUGCUCUGAGCAGACCGAUUCCCCCGUUAGAAGAAGAGAAAGCCACAGGACGGACCACGCGGCCCAGCUCACGGAGAGAUGAAUCCGGAUGGAGACAUUUGAGGAGAAGAUGGAUUAUCUGCUCAUGCUCUACAGGAGCUCCAUGUCACCUCGCUCUGCUCCAAAUCACAGCGUGCCAUUUGCCCAACAGCAGCUGGGCCAAAUAUCCAGUUAAAAAAAUAUGGCUGUGUACAGAUUCCUACGCCAAAGCUGUGGACCGGUGUCGGCGGCUGAGGGACACCAGCAUCCAGACAGAAGAUGAAGCAAGUGUCCAAAAAAGGCAGCGCCGACGCCCAAGGAGGUUCAUGACAGAUUCUUCAAGUGAUGGUAAGACCUUUAUUAUAGACUACAUUUUUUCACAUAUUUCAAAUCACAGAUUUUGCAAUGGGUACACGCUAUAUGGUCUCUGUAUUACAGAUGAAUCUGUUGCACGACCAGAUAAACUGUCCAGGACGGAGCGUGCGUCUGGAAGCCCUGUCUGGAAGUUAAA